ACGGCCAGGAAACGCCGUCGACCGUACCGUACGACAUUUCCCGAUUUGGAAACACCGUAUGGUACGGUCGACGACAUUUCCUGGCUGU
rnacentral:pre_miRNA from 1 species